UACGUAGGGUGCAAGCGUUAAUCGGAAUUACUGGGCGUAAAGCGUGCGCAGGCGGUGAUGUAAGACAGGUGUGAAAUCCCCGGGCUUAACCUGGGAACUGCAUUUGUGACUGCAUAGCUAGAGUACGGCAGAGGGGGAUGGAAUUCCGCGUGUAGCAGUGAAAUGCGUAGAUAUGCGGAGGAACACCGAUGGCGAAGGCAAUCCCCUGGGCCUGCACUGACGCUCAUGCACGAAAGCGUGGGGAGCAAACAGG
rnacentral:rRNA from 1 species